rnacentral:lncRNA from 1 species
UCCCAUACGAGUGAUGGUUCUCAAUAGUGGGUUUAAGUCCCAUAGGGGGACCGAAUAUCCACCGCGAAAGUCUAAUCAUACGAGCAUGCAUGAACCGGGCCUGGCUUAGACGUAAGUCCGAUCGGGAAUUGAUGUUUCGUGAUCUGAAUAAUGAUCAUGGUUGAGUUAUGAGAACUCAGAUGCAUGUUGCCAUACAAUUGCGAGAUAGUUC